CCCUUAGAUGUUCUGGGCCGCACGCGCGCUACACUGAUGCAUUCAACGAGUUUCUUCCUGGUCCGAGAGGAAUGGAUAACCUUUUGAAAGUGCAUCGUGAUAGGGAUAGACUAUUGCAAUUAUUGGUCUUCAACGAGGAAUUCCUAGUAGACGUAGUUCAUCAGGCUGCAUCGAUUACGUCCCUGCCCUUUGUACACACCGCCCGUCGCUCCUACCGAUUGAAUGCUCAGGUGAGCCAUUCGGACCUUCAUCAUGCCGGUUUCCGGUUUUGAUGAGGGAAAGUCUUGCGAACCUUAUCAUUUAGAGGAAGGAGAAGUCGUAACA
rnacentral:rRNA from 1 species